ACGCUGGCGGCAGGCUUAACACAUGCAAGUCGAACGGUAGCAGGAGAAAGCUUGCUUUCUUGCUGACGAGUGGCGGACGGGUGAGUAAUGCUUGGGAAUCUGGCUUAUGGAGGGGGAUAACUACGGGAAACUGUAGCUAAUACCGCGUAGUGUCGAGAGACGAAAGUGCGGGACCGCAAGGCCGCAUGCCAUGAGAUGAGCCCAAGUGGGAUUAGGUAGUUGGUGGGGUAAGGGCCUACCAAGCCUGCGAUCUCUAGCUGGUCUGAGAGGAUGGCCAGCCACACUGGAACUGAGACACGGUCCAGACUCCUACGGGAGGCAGCAGUGGGGAAUAUUGCGCAAUGGGGGGAACCCUGACGCAGCCAUGCCGCGUGAAUGAAGAAGGCCUUCGGGUUGUAAAGUUCUUUCGGUAUUGAGGAAGGAGUGUAUGUUAAUAGCAUACAUUAUUGACGUUAAAUACAGAAGAAGCACCGGCUAACUCCGUGCCAGCAGCCGCGGUAAUACGGAGGGUGCGAGCGUUAAUCGGAAUAACUGGGCGUAAAGGGCACGCAGGCGGUUAUUUAAGUGAGGUGUGAAAGCCCCGGGCUUAACCUGGGAAUUGCAUUUCAGACUGGGUAACUAGAGUACUUUAGGGAGGGGUAGAAUUCCACAUGUAGCGGUGAAAUGCGUAGAGAUGUGGAGGAAUACCGAAGGCGAAGGCAGCCCCUUGGGAAUGUACUGACGCUCAUGUGCGAAAGCGUGGGGAGCAAACAGGAUUAGAUACCCUGGUAGUCCACGCUGUAAACGCUGUCGAUUUGGGGAUUGGGCUUAAAGCUUGGUGCCCGUAGCUAACGUGAUAAAUCGACCGCCUGGGGAGUACGGCCGCAAGGUUAAAACUCAAAUGAAUUGACGGGGGCCCGCACAAGCGGUG
rnacentral:rRNA from 1 species